UCCAGACUCCUACGGGAGGCAGCAGUGAGGAAUAUUGGUCAAUGGCCGGAAGGCUGAACCAGCCAAGCCGCGUGAAGGACGAAGGUGCCAAGCAUUGUAAACUUCUUUUGUCAAGGGACAAAAUCAGGCUCGAGAGCCUGACCGAGGGUACUUGAAGAAAAAGCAUCGGCUAACUCCGUGCCAGCAGCCGCGGUAAUACGGAGGAUGCGAGCGUUAUCCGGAUUUAUUGGGUUUAAAGGGUGCGUAGGCGGUCCGGAAAGUCAGGGGUAAAAGCCGGGGGCUCAACCCCGGCGAGCCGUUGAAACUGUCGGACUAGAGACGGCGAGAAGUACGCGGAAUGCGCGGUGUAGCGGUGAAAUGCAUAGAUAUCACGCAGAACCCCGAUUGCGAAGGCAGCAUGCCGGCUUCCGACUGACGCUGAAGCACGAAAGCGUGGGGAUCGAACAGGAUUAGAUACCCCAGUA
rnacentral:rRNA from 1 species